rnacentral:rRNA from 1 species
UACAGAGGGUGCAAGCGUUGUUCGGAAUUAUUGGGCGUAGAGCGCGUGUAGGCGGCCAUGUAAGUCGAGUGUGAAAGCCCUCAGCUCAACUGAGGAAGUGCGCCCGAAACUGCGUGGCUUGAGUACCGGAGAGGAUGGCGGAAUUCCCGAAGUAGAGGUGAAAUUCGUAGAUAUCGGGAGGAACACCGGUGGCGAAGGCAGCCAUCUGGACGGAUACUGACGCUGAGACGCGAAAGCGUGGGUAGCAAACAGG